rfam:Vavraia culicis subsp. floridensis unplaced genomic scaffold supercont1.52, whole genome shotgun sequence.
CCGGCGGUAGCUCAGUGGUAGAGCAUGCGACUGUAGAGGUGACGUAGUCAUCGCAUUGUCGGUGGUUCGAUUCCGCCCCGCGGGA